CCUACGGGGGGCAGCAGUGGGGAAUAUUGCACAAUGGGCGCAAGCCUGAUGCAGCCAUGCCGCGUGUGUGAAGAAGGCCUUCGGGUUGUAAAGCACUUUCAGCGGGGAGGAAGGCGGUGAGGUUAAUAACCUCAUCGAUUGACGUUACCCGCAGAAGAAGCACCGGCUAACUCCGUGCCAGCAGCCGCGGUAAUACGGAGGGUGCAAGCGUUAAUCGGAAUUACUGGGCGUAAAGCGCACGCAGGCGGUCUGUCAAGUCGGAUGUGAAAUCCCCGGGCUCAACCUGGGAACUGCAUUCGAAACUGGCAGGCUAGAGUCUUGUAGAGGGGGGUAGAAUUCCAGGUGUAGCGGCGAAAUGCGUAGAGAUCUGGAGGAAUACCGGUGGCGAAGGCGGCCCCCUGGACAAAGACUGACGCUCAGGUGCGAAAGCGUGGGGAGCAAACAGGAUUAGAUACCCGAGUAGUC
rnacentral:rRNA from 1 species